ensembl:snRNA U6 U6 spliceosomal RNA
GUGCUUGCUUCAGCAGCACAUAUACUAAAAUCGAAACAAUACAGAAAAGAUUAGCAUGGCCCCUGUGCAAGGAUGGCAUGCGAAUUCGUGAAGUGCUCCACGUUUUU